CCGGCGACCGGCGCACGGGUGAGUAACACGUAUGCAACCUGCCCUCUUCAGGGGGACAACCUUCCGAAAGGGAGGCUAAUCCCGCGUAUAUCGGUUUCGGGCAUCCGAGAUCGAGGAAACGAUUCAUCGGAAGAGGAUGGGCAUGCGGCGCAUUAGCUAGACGGCGGGGUAACGGCCCACCGUGGCGACGAUGCGUAGGGGUUCUGAGAGGAAGGUCCCCCACACUGGUACUGAGACACGGACCAGACUCCUACGGAAGGCAGCAG
rnacentral:rRNA from 1 species